AUGCCACUGGUGAGAAACACACAAACCACAACAGGAAAAAGUGGGUCACUGGGCUUGGUCAACAUUAGGAGCUUGUGCUCUUUGAAGGAGACACUCCUGGCGAAUCACCUGUUUGAUAAGGUAGCGGCUUCCAGAAGACACAGAGAACUCCCCACAGUGAAUACGAGGACACAAACAUUAGCGAAGAGAAGAUGGGAAAAAAUAUUAAAUGGUCUUAGCAAAGAAGAUAAAUGUGUUUUAACAUCGUCAGUGGAUAGGGAAAUGCACGCCGCGGCACCGGCACCGCCACAGCUCACAGCGACAUCGGCAGGUGACACCAGCUCACGGGUCAGCGAGCCGCCCGGCGCGUCCGAGUGGAGGGAAAACCCACCCUCACACAAAUCCCCUGCGAAAGCUCAGGGCCGCCGCGCCCCCCGCCGCCCCACGGCCGCCUGCGAACGCGCACGGGGCGGCGCGCGGCUCCACCGGGACCAGGUACGGGAUUUCCGGCCUCCGCCGGUCAAGGGCCGGACCCCGAGGCGCCCCUGCUGCAUUGGUUCCCGGCACGCGGGGCAACGACCAGCGCGGGGGCUGCAGAGCUCCACGCGGGAGGGCGCGGAGGGAGCGGCGGCUGCAGGGCCACGCAGCGACAAAUGUGCGCCCCCCGCGUUCCGGGAAACAGGGGCGAGACCCGCCGCUCCUCGGCCUGGGACCCACACGUGGACCCCCGCUCCUGCUCCCCCUGCCUUGGGGCUCCGGCUGGGCGUCCGCGAGGAGGGCCCCGCAGCCAAAGCCCCCCGCUCCCAAGGCCGCCCCUCCCCCACGCCCGCCGCGCUGCCUCCGCCCCUCCCCUCCUCCUCCCGGAGCCCCUCCCCUCCUCCUCGCCGGGGCCCUCCGCCGCUCCCCUCCCCCGCCCCCCGCCUCCCUCCCGGUGCCCCUCCCCUCCCCCGCCCCUGCCCCUCUCCUGCGCCCCCGCCCCCGCCCGGGCCGGCCGGCAGAGUGCGCCCUCGCGUGGUCGUGGACGUGGACGUGGUCGUGGUCGUGGUCGUGGACGCGGGCGCGGGCGCGGGCGCGCGGGGAGGCGGCGGCGGAGGGCAGCCGUUGCGGGCCGGCCCGCGGGGCUGGGGCUGA
rnacentral:lncRNA from 1 species